rnacentral:rRNA from 1 species
UACGGGGGGGGCAAGCGUUGUUCGGAAUUACUGGGCGUAAAGGGCUCGUAGGCGGCCGACUCAGUCGGACGUGAAAUCCCUCGGCUUAACCGGGGAAUGGCGUCCGAUACUAGUCGGCUUGAGUGUGGGAGAGGGAUGCGGAAUUCCAGGUGUAGCGGUGAAAUGCGUAGAUAUCUGGAGGAACACCUGUGGCGAAAGCGGCUCACUGGACCACAACUGACGCUGAGGCGCGAAAGCUAGGGGAGCAAACAGG